CGGGGUAUAGCUCAGUGGUAGAGCAUUCGACUGUCAGAUCGAGAGGUCCCGGUUCAAACCCGGUUGCCCCUU